UGCAUGUGCCAAUAAACAGUUUUUGAUAGGCGAAAAACCUUUUGUCAUUCUAUUUUCGUAAUGAAAACUAUGAAACGGACAUAUUACAAGGUCAUUUCACAACUAGAGGAUGUUUACAGAUUGACAGUAAUUUACAGAAAGGAGUGUUUUGCAUUAAUUACAAUGUCUUUUAAUAUGAUACGGACACACAAAAAUUAAUGUAAGAGGAAUAAAGCGGCAAAUGUAGAUAUAAUGAGCUCAAAAUAUGUAAGACACUGCGAUCCCUGCCGGUUUAGGGAUAAAAGGGUAACGGCACUAUAUUUCUGUCAAAAUUGUAUGGAAUAUUAUUGCAAGAGAUGCAGGAAACAACACUUAAAGUUUCGGCUUACAAUGGGACAUUUGAUGCUUGAGGAAAAGCAUGGAAAUUUUGCAACAGUCGAUAAAUGUAUAAUACAUGAUGCUGCUGGUCUAGGCAAUAAACUUGAUAGAUACAGUACAGAAAGUGUGUUCUCAAAUUCAGAAUUCUACGACUACGACGCAGAAAUUUUGGAGACCGAUGCCGCUCGGCACUGCCAUUUAGAAGGAAAAUGCAUCGUUCGUGUGGAUAGUUGCAGCAUUUCACUUACAGAGGUUGCAAAUCACAUGACACUUUGUUGGCCAUAUACCUGCAUCAGAAAGUAUGGCAGUAUGGACACUAAAAUGUUCUUUUUUGAAAGUGGUAGAAGAUGUGGGACAGGAGAAGGGCGAUAUGUGCUGAUGAUGCAUGACGCUGUAAUUUUGCACAAAAACAUGACAAAUUUCAUCAGAUGUAUUGAAAAGAAGAUACAACUUUAAAAAUACAAAUAUACAUUAUUACAAUAUUUAUCCAAAUGACAAACUCUUUCCUCAAAAGGGUUGAUUUUUCCAGUUUUCUUGGUUAUGUUGGUAUUUAGAUGUAUGUAAUAUGUUCCCAUAUUUUUGUUUUCUGUAUAAUGACCUAUAAUCGUAAUGAGGAGAAGGAUUAAGUUUUACAGUAAUGUUAUUUUCAUAUAUACAAAAGAGAUACCGGUAGUAGUUUUUCAAAGGCUCUUCAGUAUGCCUGUGAGAAGUUAGUAGUAUAAUGAUCUACAUUUAUCAUUUUAAAGGCACACGCUACAGUUUUUCUGGACGGGUCGAUAUUUACCCCAACACCGUGCCAAUUUGGUUGUGUUACUCAUCGAUGUAGCUCACUGCAAAGUUGUUGUGGCCCUCUGCGCAUGCUCGGAAGUGAUUAUCUAAUGUCGCGUACAGCAAAAUUUCGCAAAUUAUUGUAUGUUCGCAUGCAUUUAAUGUACAAAAUGUAUAAUAUACUGACUAAAAGGUUAGGGUAAGUAUCACAAAGGUUACAAAAUAUAUACAUUUAAAGUACUUCUAGUUCAAAUUGCUUCAAUCCGACAUAUACUGGAGUCUGUUAUUUAUACCAGCGCUCAAACUCUGCAUUGAAUCACAGCUGUUUCUAAUCCCGUACCGUACCCGUACCGUACAUUCGUAAACUAUAGGUUUUGUUAAAAAAAAAAGGCGGAAACUUUUAUCGUUCUAUGCCAUCAAAAUGCUUCAGAAACACCUUAAAAUCCGCUUAUUAAGAAAUCUGCCGUUUGAUAAUUUUAUAUAUAUAUAUAUAUAUAUUUCUAAGUCAUUUGCUCCAACACUGAAAGAGUAUUUCGUACCAACCUGCGUUGUAUAAAUGCCCGCCACACCCCACCUCGUUGUAAUUUGAUUUAAGCGAAAUCUAAUAUGGUGACCUAUCAAUUUUCUUUUUGUUUUAGAUUACGUAGACAUAACCAAAGGUAUGUGCAGAGUUUGAUAAAAUUCUAUUAUGUGAAAGUCGAUAAAAUAGCAGAAGUACCAACUUAAAACUGACAAAAAUAUGCAAUAAUAGCCCUUGGGUCUGCUGAACAAGUAUUCCUUUCUUUACAAAAUCAUGUUCUUUUGAUUUCUCUGAGCAUGUUUCAAAUAGAUAUAAUAUUGUUUUCCGUUAUAAAAAUGCUUAGAUAAUCAAAUUUAUGCUGAUUAUUGUACUUUACUGAAAUGUAUUUUAGGAUUACAGAAAUUUUGAAAAAUGUUUAAAAUAGCACCAUAUCUAGGGGCAAAUUAAAUUGAAACAAAGCUGGUGACCUAGUAUUUUUAUUUCAUUUUUCAAUACAUCAUAACAUGAUCUUUUAAUACAAAACAUUUCAUCAAAAUCUAUUAUUGAGAAAAAAAUUACGAAACUGUAGCGAGCGUCCUUAAAAUAAACUAACUAAAUUGUCAUGGAGAAAUAAUGGCUUUUAGUUUUUACAUAUAUUGUUCUAAUAUAAAUAAUUUAAGAAUAAUAUCAUUUUCAAAGGAUUUAAUGUUGUUCUUGUGACAAACUAUUACUGUGAAGAGAGGGGGUAUGUAAAGCUAUAAUUACUCUUAGAUAUGUUAAUGGUAAAUAGUUUUAAAGGAUCAGCAGUUAAUCUUGUAAGAAAUGUCAGUAUAAUCAUUAUAAUAUAAUGACAUACAGUUGUCUUAAAGCCAAUGGUUAUGUAAUGAGACACGAUGAAGAAAUGUUAUCAUUUUCAUAUAAUUUAUCUUUGUGAGAAAUUAUCAAUAUAAUGAUUUUCUGUAGUUACAAUUUUGAGAAAAUAUCUUUAUUAUAAUGUAUAUGUUAAUGUGUUUACUUUAUGUAGUUUUUCAUGAUGUAUAGUUUUCAUUUUGACAUUUGACCUACAGUUGUUGUCAAGGUUUGGUUUUCAGUUAUUUCAAAGUUGUAUAGUCAUCCCUGUGACAUUUAUCAUAUGACAGACUUAAGGGUUUAGUUAGUGAGUAUAAUUUAAGUUAACGGAUCGUAUGGGUUUUUUUUUGUUCUGAUGAUGAUUAAUAGUAAUCACAUUUAUAAGUUAUCAAAUCCAGGAUGUCAUAAUGUAAGAGAAGAAAAAAAUGUUGUAAAUAUUUUUAUAUAUUCAGUUAUAUAUAUAUAUUAUAUAAUAUAAAACCAUCAAUAAGUAGACGGACUCUGCGUAAGGAGUUUGAAUGAUGUUAAAGGUAUAGGUCAGAAAAGAUAUUUACACUAGUAAGUUUUACGGAAACCGAAAUGAUAUUAAAUAAGUGAGGAAAAGAGUUUAUAAAGUAAUACCGGUAUAUCAGGAGAAUAUUAAUUCACAAAUCACAGUCUAUGGAAUGUAUCUGUAGGAUUCUAAAAGGCUUGUACUAAAAAAGAGAAUAUAAAAUCAUGGUUAUCCCCAAAGGUAGCAAAAAGGCCGAUACCGUACGUAGCAAUGACAGGACAAGAAUAUAUAUGUUGAGUAAUCCUACACUUAGUGUGGAUUACAAGGAAGCUAUGAGCUGGAAGUACGAAUUAUCUCUUCUGGAUAAUCUGAACAAAACUUUUUUUCUGAGGGCAGCAGAAGUGUUUGUAAAAGUAAAUUACUAGUUUCUGUAAACAUUCUGAAUUGUAUAUCAGAACUGUACCGCAGUACCGAAAGAAGGCAGAUUUUUUUUAGGCUUUGUGGGAUUUAAUACACUUAAUUUAAUACACUUAAAUUUUUUACAAACAGAAUAUUUUCAAAUAAUAAAGAUUGUAUGUUUUCGUUCAUAAUGAAAACAGAUCAAUGAAACAACUGUUCAAAAAUAGUCAUUGAUAAACAAAAAAUAAACUGUCGGUUAAAGAAUUAUUUAGCUGAUACUUGUUUGCUCAUCACCUCUAAAGUAAACAUUAAGGACAAUGUUCACUCUUAAGCCAUAUAUGGCCUACACAAACUGAAUAAUUUUCAAAUUGGUUAUAAUUGAAAAAUUGCAACUCUGUAGUGAAUUUGGCUUUUUCGACACAGAUGUAUCAGUUUAUUUUAAAGAUGUCGCUGAAUAUUGCUGAACCAGGAUUUUUAUUGUCAUUAUUUUGUUGUGGACGACAGCUGUGACUGUAUUGAAAAUUUCAGAUUUGUUUAAAAAUUUAGUUUAAAAUGAUGGUUUCCCAUAGCUGUAAUGUUAAAAGGGUUUUCAUUUACGUCACAUAUUUUCUUCGAGUAGGAAUAACUUGAAUAAUAUUGCAUGCAGUUUGAUGGAACAAUACUUUUUGAUGAAAAAAAACUUGGAAUUUAGCUCAUUUACAGACUUGCAUACUGGACAAAAGUGAACCUUUCCCUUUAACAAAGUUAGAUUUAUGUACAUAACCGGUUGGCAUUUUCAAUAUUUUAUCAUAUUCAUUAAGGAGAGCAGACUGAACAACUGGGGAAAACAUACAUUGGUCUUCAAAGCUUUGGAAUGCAAAUAAUGAGACAUCAUUAAAUAAAAAGAACGACACUCCAGUAGUUCCCCUUUUGGGUAUGAUUUGAAGAUGCGAUGAAAAGUUUCAAACUAUUUAGCUAACUAGUUUGUACAUGCAUCUUUCUGACACUAUCGCGACAUCUUUGUUUUUCGAGUAGUUGUAAACGGCUAUUUAUAAAAUAUGUGAGCCGCGCCAUGUGAAAACCAACAUAGUGGGUUUGCGACCAGCAUGGAUCCAGACCAGCCUGCGCAUCCGCGCAGUCUGGUCAGGAUCCAUGCUGUUCGCUUUUAAAGCCUAUUAGAAUUGGAGAAACUGUUAGCGAACAGCAUGGAUCCUGACCAGACUGGUCGCAAAGCCAUUAUGUUGGUUUUCUCAUGGCAUGGCUCAUGUUCUAACUGUUUGUUUGGUAAAUAUAUAGGGUAUAGGAAAGAAAUAAUUUAUUUUUGUAGUUAAUUUAACUUAUUCUUUAACUGCAUUUCACGAAAACUAUACACUUUAUACACAAAGGUAAAUAUACUCAUGCAUUAUGAACAAUUGUACAUCAAUGCAAGGUUUUUGUUUCUAAUGAAAUGACAGUUCGUGUGUAAAGGGACAAAAUCGCGCCACAUUAUCCACCUUUACAAUAUUUCGUGCUUAAAUUCCAUCAACUAUUAAAAUCAUCACUUUACAACUAAUUGCAAGAACUGGUCUGUUACACUGAUCUGUCUUAUCGAAUACAGUUAAUAUGUAGUAUCUAACGCGUGGAAGAGUCUAUUGCAAGAACGAGCCUAAUAGCAGAAACAUUUAGUUUAUUUUAUGUUUAGUUUUAUAUUUUCCCUUGUAUGGUUAUCAAGAUAAUAACUAUCCUGAUUUCAGAAUUUUGUGAAAAAGUUUGUGUUAUCAAUUUGUGUAGUAAAUCACAAAAAAAAAAAAAUAAAUAAAAAAAA